rnacentral:rRNA from 1 species
GAUGAACGCUAGCUCCAGGCUUAACACAUGCAAGUCGAGGGGAAACGACAUCGCAAGCUUGCUUUUGAUGGGCGUCGACCGGCGCACGGGUGAGUAACGCGUAUCCAACCUGCCCAUCACUUGGGAAUAACCUUGCGAAAGUAAGACUAAUACCCAAUGACAUCCCACGAAGACAUCUGAAUGGGAUUAAAGAUUUAUCGGUGAUGGAUGGGGAUGCGUCUGAUUAGCUUGUUGGCGGGGUAACGGCCCACCAAGGCAACGAUCAGUAGGGGUUCUGAGAGGAAGGUCCCCCACAUUGGAACUGAGACACGGGCCAAACUCAUACGGGAGGCAGCAGUGAGGAAUAGUGGUCAAGGGGAGAGAGCCUGAACCAGCCAAGUAGCGUGCAGGAGGACGGCCCUAUGGGUUGUAAACUGCUUUUAUAAGGGAAUAAAGUGGGUCUCGUGAGACUUUUUGCAUGUACCUUAUGAAUAAGGACCGGCUAAUUACGUG